CGAACUCACAACCCCCAGAUCAAGAGUCACAUGCUCUACUUAUUGAGCCGGCCAGGCACCCCAUUUUUUGUUCAUUAUUAUUUGUGUCCCCCUGAAUUGUUUUGAAGUUACUUUUAGCUCGUUAUAAUACUAAGAUCUCCUCCUAUAGGUGGGGUUUUCUGCCAUUUUUUGAGCAUCCCGAUAUGCACUAGCCCGUUAGCAUGUUAGGCGUGCACAGUUGGGGCAAAGAGCCUGAGAGAAUAUGUCAUGGAACCAUCACCUGGUGAGCGGAGGCGGGACAAUCAGAGCCCUGCAGAUUCUCAGUGGUGCCACGUCGGAGGUAGAGCCUCAGUACUGGGUGUGGGAUCUGGGCCGAAGAAAGGAGCCCUCGUUUCUCAGCCACACUCACAGGAGGUUAGCCUCAGCAUUAGGUUGAUGGGGACAAGAUGAAACUGGCGAUGUCCUGCCCCAGUAUUUUAUCCUUGUGCCCAGAAUGUCAAUGUGAUGGCCGGAACUCCAACAGCCAUCUUAUACCAUGAAGACAAAAGUCUUGGGAUGGAGGAGUGAAAAGCUUGAAGAGCCUGUGUUCCUGAUGAUGUCUUAGAGUCUCUAGACUGCAUUUGUGUAUAGAUGUAUAUGUUCGAUGAUGAAACCUUAUCACAUGCAAGGCUUAUGAUUCAUUUUUUAAAGAGUUUAUUUUUUUAUUAAAUUUUUUUAAUGUUUAUUUUUGAGAGAGAGACAGAGCACGAGCGGGGGAGGGGUAGAGACA